rnacentral:rRNA from 1 species
UGGGCAACCUGCCCCUAGCUCUGGGAUAACUGCGGGAAACUGUAGCUAAUACCGGAUGUGACACGAGACUGCAUGGUCUUCGUGUGGAAAGAUUUAUCGGCUAGGGAUGGGCCCGCGGUCUAUCAGCUUGUUGGUGGGAUAAUGGCUCACCAAGGCGACGACGGAUAACCGGCCUGAGAGGGCGACCGGUCACACUGGGACUGAGACACGGCCCAGACUCCGUAGGA